rnacentral:rRNA from 1 species
CCUACGGGAGGCAGCAGUAAGGAAUAUUGGUCAAUGGACGAAAGUCUGAACCAGCCAUGCCGCGUGAAGGAUGAAGGUCCUCUGGAUUGUAAACUUCUUUUAUCUGGGACGAAAAAAGGGCUUUCUAGCUCACUUGACGGUACCAGAGGAAUAAGCACCGGCUAACUCCGUGCCAGCAGCCGCGGUAAUACGGAGGGUGCAAGCGUUAUCCGGAUUUACUGGGUUUAAAGGGAGCGUAGGUGGACAGGUAAGUCAGUGGUGAAAUCUCUGGGCUUAACCCGGAAACUGCCAUUGAUACUAUCUGUCUUGAAUAUCCUGGAGGUAAGCGGAAUAUGUCAUGUAGCGGUGAAAUGCUUAGAUAUGACAUAGAACACCCAUUGCGAAGGCAGCUUACUACGGGAUUAUUGACACUGAGGCUCGAAAGCGUGGGGAUCAAACAGGAUUAGAUACCCUGGUAGUCCACGCCCUAAACGAUGGAUACUCGACAUCAGCGAUACACUGUUGGUGUCUGNGNGAAGANAUAUAUCCACCNGAGACGACGCGAGUAGAAGUAAGAAGUAGAGNGNGAGAGAGCGAGACGACGACGAGGGAGGAGG